rnacentral:rRNA from 1 species
GUUGAACGCUGGCGGCAUGCCUUACACAUGCAAGUCGAACGGUAACAGGUCUUCGGAUGCUGACGAGUGGCGAACGGGUGAGUAAUACAUCGGAACGUGCCUAGUAGUGGGGGAUAACUACUCGAAAGAGUGGCUAAUACCGCAUGAGAUCUACGGAUGAAAGCAGGGGAUCGCAAGACCUUGUGCUACUAGAGCGGCCGAUGGCAGAUUAGGUAGUUGGUGGGAUAAAAGCUUACCAAGCCGACGAUCUGUAGCUGGUCUGGGAGGACGAUCAGCCACACUGAGACUGAGACACGGCCCAGACUCCUACGGGAGGCAGCAGUGGGGAAUUUUGGACAAUGGGCGCAAGCCUGAUCCAGCAAUGCCGCGUGCAGGAUGAAGGCCUUCGGGUUGUAAACUGCUUUUGUACGGAACGAAAAGCCCUGGGUUAAUACCCUGGGGUCAUGACGGUACCGUAAGAAUAAGCACCGGCUAACUACGUGCCAGCCGCCGCAGUAA